CACCUCCCACCCGUGUCUAUCGUACCUUGUUGCUUCGGCGGGCCCGCCGUUUCKACGGCCGCCGGGGAGGCCUCGCGCCCCCGGGCCCGCGCCCGCCGAAGACCCCAACAUGAACGCUGUUCUGAAAGUAUGCAGUCUGAGUUGAUUAUCAUAAUCAGUUAAAACUUUCAACAACGGAUCUCUUGGUUCCGGCAUCGAUGAAGAACGCAGCGAAAUGCGAUAAGUAAUGUGAAUUGCAGAAUUCAGUGAAUCAUCGAGUCUUUGAACGCACAUUGCGCCCCCUGGUAUUCCGGGGGGCAUGCCUGUCCGAGCGUCAUUGCUGCCCUCAAGCACGGCUUGUGUGUUGGGCCCCCGUCCCCUCUCCCGGGGACGGGCCCGAAAGGCAGCGGCGGCACCGCGUCCGGUCCUCGAGCGUAUGGGGCUUUGUCACCCGCUCUGUAGGCCCGGCCGGCGCCAGCCGACACCCAACUUUAUUUCUAAGGUUGACCUCGGAUCAGGUAGGGAUACCCGCUGAACUUAAGCAUAUCAAU
rnacentral:rRNA from 1 species